rnacentral:rRNA from 1 species
AGAGAGAGACAUGCGCGCAUAUCAAUAAGCGGAGGAAAAGAAACUAACUAGGAUUCCCUCAGUAACGGCGAGUGAAGCGGGAAGAGCUCAAAUUUGAAAUCUUCAAGGGUUCUACCUUUACGAAUUGUAGUUUAAAGAAGUGUUUUCUGUUGAGGUUUUGGUAAAAGUUCUUUGGAAUAGGACAUCAUAGAGGGUGAGAAUCCCGUAUUUGACCAUUAUUUCCAGCUUUGUGAUACACUUUCAAAGAGUCGGAUUGUUUGGGAAUGCAGUCCAAAAUGGGUGGUAAAUUUCAUCUAAAGCUAAAUAUUGGCGAGAGACCGAUAGCGAACAAGUACCGUGAGGGAAAGAUGAAAAGAACUUUGAAAAGAGAGUUAAACAGUACGUGAAAUUGUCAAAAGGGAAGCGUUUGACACCAGUGUUGUUUUCUCGAAAAUCAAUUAAAAAAGGCAGGAUUUUGUGUUGUAUUGACUUUAUCAGCUUUCUGCACUCUUUUCUUGUCUUUUUUAAUGCGCUUUUCGUUUAACAAGUCAACAUCAAUUUCUUUUGUUGUAAAAGGGUCAUUGGAAGGUGGCUUUCUUUUCGGAGAAAGUGUUUAUAGCCUUUGGCCUCUGCAAUCGGAGAGAUUGAGGUCUGCAGCGUAGAUCCUUCGGGGUUAGAUACAUUUGUGCUAAGUUAUAGCCUUUCAUAGACAACUUGUUGACUAUGAUCAGUCAUGUAGCUUACUCGCUUAUGCUAUUUUACCUACGCUUAGGAUGUUGAUGUGAUACUGCGAGCA